rnacentral:rRNA from 1 species
UACGAAGGGGGCUAGCGUUGUUCGGAAUUACUGGGCGUAAAGCGCGCGCAGGCGGUCUUCCAAGUCAGUGGUGAAAGCCCGGAGCUCAACUCCGGAACUGCCAUUGAAACUGUUGAACUUGAGGACGAGAGAGGUGAGUGGAAUUCCCAGUGUAGAGGUGAAAUUCGUAGAUAUUGGGAAGAACACCGGUGGCGAAGGCGGCUUCUUGGGCCCUACCUGACGCUGAGGCGCGAAAGCCAGGGGAGCGAACGGG